UACGUAGGGUGCAAGCGUUGUCCGGAAUUAUUGGGCGUAAAGAGCUCGUAGGCGGUUUGUCGCGUCUGCUGUGAAAACUCGGGGCUUAACCCCGGGCCUGCAGUGGGUACGGGCAGACUAGAGUCCGGAAGAGGAGAGUGGAAUUCCUGGCGUAGCGGUGAAAUGCGCAGAUAUCAGGAAGAACACCCGUGGCGAAGGCGGCUCUCUGGGACGGUACUGACGCUGAGACGCGAAAGCGUGGGGAGCGAACAGG
rnacentral:rRNA from 1 species